rnacentral:rRNA from 1 species
AGAGUUUGAUCAUGGCUCAGAUUGAACGCUGGCGGCAGGCCUAACACAUGCAAGUCGAACGGUAACAGGAAGCAGCUUGCUGCUUUGCUGACGAGUGGCGGACGGGUGAGUAAUGUCUGGGAAACUGCCUGAUGGAGGGGGAUAACUACUGGAAACGGUGGGCUAAUACCGCAUAACGUCGCAAGACCAAAGAGGGGGACCUUCGGGCCUCUUGCCAUCAGAUGUGCCCAGAUGGGAUUAGCUUGUUGGUGAGGUAACGGCUCACCAAGGCGACGAUCCCUAGCUGGUCUGAGAGGAUGACCAGCCACACUGGAACUGAGACACGGUCCAGACUCCUACGGGAGGCAGCAGUGGGGAAUAUUGCACAAUGGGCGCAAGCCUGAUGCAGCCAUGCCGCGUGUAUGAAGAAGGCCUUCGGGUUGUAAAGUACUUUCAGCGGGGAGGAAGGUGUUGUGGUUAAUAACCGCAGCAAUUGACGUUACCCGCAGAAGAAGCACCGGCUAACUCCGUGCCAGCAGCCGCGGUAAUACGGAGGGUGCAAGCGUUAAUCGGAAUUACUGGGCGUAAAGCGCACGCAGGCGGUCUGUCAAGUCGGAUGUGAAAUCCCCGGGCUCAACCUGGGAACUGCAUUCGAAACUGGCAGGCUUGAGUCUUGUAGAGGGGGGUAGAAUUCCAGGUGUAGCGGUGAAAUGCGUAGAGAUCUGGAGGAAUACCGGUGGCGAAGGCGGCCCCCUGGACAAAGACUGACGCUCAGGUGCGAAAGCGUGGGGAGCAAACAGGAUUAGAUACCCUGGUAGUCCACGCCGUAAACGAUGUCUACUUGGAGGUUGUGCCCUUGAGGCGUGGCUUCCGGAGCUAACGCGUUAAGUAGACCGCCUGGGGAGUACGGCCGCAAGGUUAAAACUCAAAUGAAUUGACGGGGGCCCGCACAAGCGGUGGAGCAUGUGGUUUAAUUCGAUGCAACGCGAAGAACCUUACCUGGUCUUGACAUCCACAGAAGAAUCCAGAGAUGGAUUUGUGCCUUCGGGAACUGUGAGACAGGUGCUGCAUGGCUGUCGUCAGCUCGUGUUGUGAAAUGUUGGGUUAAGUCCCGCAACGAGCGCAACCCUUAUCCUUUGUUGCCAGCGGUUAGGCCGGGAACUCAAAGGAGACUGCCAGUGAUAAACUGGAGGAAGGUGGGGAUGACGUCAAGUCAUCAUGGCCCUUACGACCAGGGCUACACACGUGCUACAAUGGCGCAUACAAAGAGAAGCGACCUCGCGAGAGCAAGCGGACCUCAUAAAGUGCGUCGUAGUCCGGAUUGGAGUCUGCAACUCGACUCCAUGAAGUCGGAAUCGCUAGUAAUCGUGGAUCAGAAUGCCACGGUGAAUACGUUCCCGGGCCUUGUACACACCGCCCGUCACACCAUGGGAGUGGGUUGCAAAAGAAGUAGGUAGCUUAACCUUCGGGAGGGCGCUUACCACUUUGUGAUUCAUGACUGGGGUGAAGUCGUAACAAGGUAACCGUAGGGGAACCUGCGGUUGGAUCACCU